GCCUGGGUGGCUCAGUGGGUUAAGCAUCCGACUUUGGCUCAGGUCAUGAUCUCAUGGUUCGCGAGUUCAAGCCUCGCAUCAGGCU
rnacentral:tRNA from 1 species